GUUAUUUUAUUGAUCCGAUGGUUCAACCCAAUUCAACCCAACCCAUCUAUUGCAAUGGUUCGGAUAAGGUUCGGGUCCUAUUCUAAUCCAACGGACCCGUACGAUCCUUACCCGACCCGAACAGCUCCGGUUGACAAAGAAGCGGGUCGCAGUAAUCCCAUAGAUCGAUCGUCUGAUAUUGAUCGAACGGUGCGUAUUAAUGUUAUAAAAAGAGCACAAAAAUAAUCGACAGUCGUCCCCUGCAACGGCCGCUAGGGUUCUGUCCCGCUUGCUAUAAAGCCGGCGACGACCUCUAUCCGACGGCGGAUUACCGCGCCUAUCGCUGCCGGACCCAUCCUCGAAGUGGUGGUGUGUUGGAUCCCUGGAGGAACACCGGAUGAAAAUCCUGUCGGGGGGAUCACUUGCCUCCGUCAUCGGCAAUACUAUUGUGCUCAUCUUCGCCACAUUCGCACUAGAGGCAAAAGGACAUUCUCAUAUGUGUGAAUGCAACUAUCACGGUUGAACAGAUUCUUCACACCCAGUCAUAUCCAGGUUUGCAGUUCAGGCUUUAGUGCAGAAUGAGUGCUUCUGAAGCUCCACUGUAGAAUGCUAGAGCAGCAAAGAACCUCAAAAAGUGUCUCAGGUCCACAAAAGGAAUGUUCUUGAAUGGGAUGAUCACUUCAAUUAUUAGAAAAUAAGCAAUUCAAUGCCAAGCUCUGAUUUCUUCUUGUAAACUUGACAUGUAGAACCUUAGAGAGAAGGACAUUUAUAUAAACUCAACCUUUUAUGAUAUCA